UGCGUAGGCGGGCUAAUAAGUCAGUGGUGAAAUAUUCCGGCUCAACCGGGAGACUGCCAUUGAUACUGUUAGUCUUGAGUUCGGCUGAGGUAGGCGGAAUGUGUAAUGUAGCGGUGAAAUGCUUAGAUAUUACACAGAACACCAAUUGCGUAGGCAGCUUACUAGACCGACACUGACGCUGAGGCACGAAAGCGUGGGGAGCGAACAGGAUUAGAUACCUGGUAGUCC
rnacentral:rRNA from 1 species